rnacentral:rRNA from 1 species
CACUCCUACGGGAGGCAGCAGUGAGGAAUAUUGGACAAUGGGUGGAAGCCUGAUCCAGCCAUCCCGCGUGCAGGAAGACGGCCCUAUGGGUUGUAAACUGCUUUUAUCUGGGGAUAAACCUACUUACGUGUAAGUAGCUGAAGGUACCAGAAGAAUAAGCACCGGCUAACUCCGUGCCAGCAGCCGCGGUAAUACGGAGGGUGCAAGCGUUAUCCGGAUUUAUUGGGUUUAAAGGGUCCGUAGGCGGACUGAUAAGUCAGUGGUGAAAUCCGACAGCUUAACUGUCGAACUGCCAUUGAUACUGUUAGUCUUGAGUAAGGUUGAAGUGGCUGGAAUAAGUAGUGUAGCGGUGAAAUGCAUAGAUAUUACUUAGAACACCAAUUGCGAAGGCAGGUCACUAAGUCUUAACUGACGCUGAUGGACGAAAGCGUGGGGAGCGAACAGGAUUAGAAACCCGAGUAGUCCCA